UACAACUGCCGCUGAUUACGCUCUCGCUGCAUAAGCGAGCCUCGUAAUCCGUUAGCCCAAGUGCGCCCUCGCCUUGGAAUCUAGCGCCGACAGAGGGCUUACUUAUUCAUAAGGUUGCGAUUAUGAAUCGGGAAAUCUUCCGCAAAUGAGUUCGUUGACUACAUGUGCGCGUGAGAGUCAGAGCUGAGAAAACGAAUAGCGCACUACGCCCGUAGAAGCCCUGUUUUAGUACCAGAGGACCCGGGUUCGAUUCCCGGCACCUCCACCA
rnacentral:tmRNA from 1 species